AGAACUGGACAAAGGGAAAAGCUUCGAUCGCCACCGCCACUUCCCGCGUAGGAGGCAGUAGCUCCCUUCUCCAGCCCAAGUGGGCCUCGGACAGCAAUAGCAACGGUGGCUGCUGUUGGCGCUGAGGACCGGGGCGGGGUCCGGGCCAGGCUGAACUGCGCGCGGCCAAGAAGUCACCUCCUAGGCACGGGAGCGGGGAGAGGCGGCAGCUGAGAGAGUUGCCUGCCAGGGGAUCCCCGCCCAUCAAGUUCCUGAUCACUGGUUGGGAGGAGCCCCACGGCGGCCACGAGCCUUUGGGGCGCCCCUUGGAGGAAAACUCUGCCUCGGAGGGAGCCCGUGUCUGAAUGGAGAUUUCCUGCAGCUGCCAGGGCGGGGCUGGCAAGAGGGUGCGGCCCGCGCGGACCUCCGAGGAUCCUAACGAUCCGGGAAAGGUGCAGCGCUCCCCGAACCCCGGAUUGAGGAUUGAGCUGGUGGAGGCAGCUGAGAUGAUGCUGUCCUGGUGUCACUAGAAUCCUUGCUUGGACACAUCUUGUGGUGAGUGAUUAAGAACUGACUGAUCUUUCUCUUAAGGGCUUAGGCCUGGGUUGGCCAGGGCUGCCCUGGGCUGGCCUAUCCUUUUCUCAUUAUUCCCCUUUUUUCUCUCUUUCUCUCCUUUUCUUUAAUUCCUCAUUUGUAUUAAUUAAAAUCUCUAUAAAACCCAGCUGACUUGGGUAUAUUUGAAUAAUUGGGAAUAUUUCCCUGGCGACCACCUUAUAUUUGAUUUAAAAACAAAACACUGUACUGAAAACAUAUUUCCUGCGGUCACAACUUACUCAUCCACUCUUUUAGCAGCCACAAAUUAAGUCUUCCACUAUUUUAUUCACUACAGUUUACUACUCCAACUAUUUAAUUAUUACAGAACUCAAAAAUUUUUUAAAUACAGGGGUAGCUGGGUAGCUCAGUGGAUUGAGAGCCAGGCCUAGAGAUGGGAGGUCCUAGGUUCAAAUCUGGCCUUAAACACUUCCCGGCUGUGUGACCCUGGGCAAGUCACUUAACCCCCAUUGCUUAGCCCUUACCACUCUUCUGCCUUGGAACCAAUACACAGUAUUGACUCCAAGAGGGAAGGUAAGGGUUUAAAAAAAAUUUUUUAAUAAAUGUUAAUUUUUGUUUACA
rnacentral:lncRNA from 1 species